rnacentral:rRNA from 1 species
UUAGGAAUAUUCGACAAUGGAGGAAACUCUGAUCGAGCAAUGCCGCGUGAAGGAUGACGGUCCUAUGGAUUGUAAACUUCUGUUGUUAGGGAAGAACGACCUAUGUAGGAAAUGACAUAGGAGUGACGGUACCUUUCAAGAAAGCUCCGGCUAACUACGUGCCAGCAGCCGCGGUAAUACGUAGGGAGCAAGCGUUAUCCGGAUUUAUUGGGUGUAAAGGGUGCGUAGGCGGUUUGAUAGGUCUAUGGUUUAAGUCCGAAGCUCAACUUCGGUUCGCCAUAGAAACCGUCAGACUUGAGUAUGGUAGAGGCAAGUGGAAUUUCUAGUGUAGCGGUAAAAUGCGUAGAUAUUAGAAGGAACACCAGUGGCGAAGGCGACUUGCUGGGCCAUCACUGACGCUGAGGCACGAAAGCGUGGGGAGCAAAUAGG